rnacentral:rRNA from 1 species
UGAGGGAUAUUGGGCAAUGGGCGCAAGCCUGACCCAGCGACGCCGCGUGGGCGAAGACGGCCUUCGGGUUGUAAAGCCCUUUUCUAUCGGACGAGGAAGGACGGUACGGUAGGAAGAAGUCACGGCUAACUACGUGCCAGCAGCCGCGGUAAAACGUAGGUGGCAAGCGUUAUCCGGAAUCACUGGGCGUAAAGGGCAUCUAGGCGGUUCGGUAAGUUGCGUGUGAAAGCCUCCGGCUCAACCGGGGGAGGACAUGCAAGACUGCCGGGCUAGAGGGUCGGAGAGGGACGUGGAAUUCCCGGUGUAGUGGUGAAAUGCGUAGAGAUCGGGAGGAACACCAGUGGCGAAGGCGGCGUCCUGGCCGGACCCUGACGCUGAAGUGCGAAAGCGUGGGGAGCGAACGGG